rnacentral:rRNA from 1 species
GCAAGUCGAGCGGAGGGAGCUUGCUCCCGGAUGUUAGCGGCGGACGGGUGAGUAACACGUGGGUAACCUGCCUGUAAGACUGGGAUAACGAAACCGGAGCUAAUACCGGAUAGUUCCUUGAACCGCAUGGUUCAAGGAUGAAAGACGGUUUCGGCUGUCACUUACAGAUGGACCCGCGGCGCAGGUAACGUCACCAAGGCGACGAUGCGUAGCCGACCUGAGAGGGUGAUCGGCCACACUGGGACUGAGACGCCCAGACUCCUACGGGAGGCAGCAGUAGGGAAUCUUCCGCAAUGGACGAAAGUCUGACGGAGCAACGCCGCGUGAGUGAUGAAGGUUUUCGGAUCGUAAAGCUCUGUUGUUAGGGAAGAACAAGUGCAAGAGUAACUGCUUGCACCUUGACGGUACCUAACCAGAAAGCCACGGCUAACUACGUGCCAGCAGCCGCGGUAAUACGUAGGUGAAGCGUUGUCCGGAAUUAUUGGGCGUAAAGGGCUCGCAGGCGGUUUCUUAAGUCUGAUGUGAAAGCCCCCGGCUCAACCGGGGAGGGUCAUUGGAAACUGGGAAACUUGAGUGCAGAAGAGGAGAGUGGAAUUCCACGUGUCGGUGAAAGAGAUGUGGAGGAACACCAGUGGCGAAGGCGACUCUCUGGUCUGUAACUGACGCUGAGGAGCGAAAGCGUGGGGAGCGAACAGGAUUAGAUACCCUGGUAGUCCACGCCGUAAACGAUGAGUGCUAAGUGUUAGGGGGUUUCCGCCCCUUAGUGCUGCAGCUAACGCAUUAAGCACUCCGCCUGGGGAGUACGGUCGCAAGACUGAAACUCAAAGGAAUUGACGGGGGCCCGCACGCGGUGGAGCAUGUGGUUUAAUUCGAAGCAACGCGAAGAACCUUACCAGGUCUUGACAUCCUCUGACAACCCUAGAGAUAGGGCUUUCCCUUCGGGGACAGAGUGACAGGUGGUGCAUGGUUGUCGUCAGCUCGUGUCGUGAGAUGUUGGGUUAAGUCCCGCAACGAGCGCAACCCUUGAUCUUAGUUGCCAGCAUUCAGUUGGGCACUCUAGUGACUGCCGGUGACAAACCGGAUGGGCCCAAUGGGAUGACGUCAAAUCAUCAUGCCCCUUAUGACCUGGGCUACACACGUGCUACAAUGGACACAAAGGGCUGCGAGACCGCAAGGUUUAGCCAAUCCCACAAAUCUGUUCUCAGUUCGGAUCGCAGUCUGCAUCGGCGUGAAGCUGGAAUCGCUAGUAAUCGCGGAUCAGCAUGCCGCGGUGAAUACGUUCCCGGGCCUUGUACACACCGCCCGUCACACCACGAGAGUUUGCAACACCCGUCG